UACGUAGGGUGCAAGCGUUGUCCGGAAUUAUUGGGCGUAAAGGGCUCGUAGGCGGUCUGUUGCGUCAGGAGUGAAAACUCGGGGCUUAACCCCGAGCCUGCUUCUGAUACGGGCAGACUAGAGGUAUGCAGGGGAGAACGGAAUUCCUGGUGUAGCGGUGAAAUGCGCAGAUAUCAGGAGGAACACCGGUGGCGAAGGCGGUUCUCUGGGCAUGUCCUGACGCUGAGGAGCGAAAGUGUGGGGAGCGAACAGG
rnacentral:rRNA from 1 species